rnacentral:rRNA from 1 species
CGUAGGGUGCAAGCGUUAAUCGGAAUUACUGGGCGUAAAGCGUGCGCAGGCGGUUGUGCAAGACAGAUGUGAAAUCCCCGGGCUUAACCUGGGAACUGCAUUUGUGACUGCACGGCUUGAGUGCGGCAGAGGGGGAUGGAAUUCCGCGUGUAGCAGUGAAAUGCGUAGAUAUGCGGAGGAACACCGAUGGCGAAGGCAAUCCCCUGGGCCUGCACUGACGCUCAUGCACGAAAGCGUGGGGAGCAAACAGGAUU